rnacentral:rRNA from 1 species
ACUCAAAUGAAUUGACGGGGGCUCGCACAAGCGGUGGAUCAUGUGGCUUAAUUCGUAGCUAAGCGAAGAACCUUACCAAGGCUAGAAAUCUUACUGCACGCCCCGGGAAACCGGGGAAGCCUUCGAGGGUGUAAGACAGGUGAUGCAUGGCCGUCGUCAGUUCGUGGCUUGAGCUGUUCCCUUAAGUGGGGAAACGAACGCAACCCUCGUUGCCUGUUAUAAGUGUCAGGCGAGACUGCUCCCUCACGGGAGAGGAAGGUGAGGAUGACGCCAGGUCAGCAUGUCCCUUGAUGCCUUGGGCUGCACACGUGAUACAAUGGGUAGUACAACGGGACGCAAUACGGUAACGUGGAGCAAAUCCUUAUAAAACUAUCCUCAGUUCGGAUUGAGGUCUGCAACUCGACCUCAUGAAGUUGGAAUCGCUAGUAAUCGUGAAUCAGCAACGUCACGGUGAAUACGUUCCCGAGCCUUGUACACACCGCCCGU